GCUGUCUGUAAUCCACCAAGCGACUGAACUCAUCCACUGCGAGUUGUGGGGCAGCCAUGCUUCUCUACAAGGAUACAGAUACCAAGAGAAAGAACCCAUUCUGCAGGUGGAGAAAAAGAGGACUCUGGGGUCUGUUACCUGAGUUUCCAGCUGUCUCCUGAGCCAGGUUCAGCACCUUCCUCUGUCUCGUAGCAAAUCAGCCCCUGGAUUCAGCGAGAUAUCCUGAGAGCCUACAAGUAACUUUGGCUGCCCACCUGUAUUCUUUUUCUUAUUUGUUAUUAAUUUAUGUUGAGACGGAGUCUCGCUCUGUCGCCCAGGCUGGAGUGCAAUGGCGUGAUCUCAGCUCACUGCAACCUCCACCUACCGGGUUCAAGCAAUUCUCCUGCCUCAGCUUCCUGAGUAGCUGGGACUACAGGUGCCCAUCACCACGCCUGGCUAAUUUUUGUAUUUUUAGUAGAGACAGGAUUUCACCAUGUUGGCCUGGUUGAUCUCAAACUCCUGACCUCAGGUGACCCGCCUGCCUUUGCCUUCCAAAGUGCUGGGAUUAUAGGCGUGAGCCACGCCCCGGGUCCCAUAUUCUUUUUCUUUGCAAAAGAUUCAGCUGAAGUUCGUUUCUGUAACUCAUACCAGAAAGCCUUUGCUAAGACAGGUGAGCAAUUUAUCUAAUCUCACUCAACUUCAAUGUAUUUGUGGAAGGAGGCUGCUAAUAGGUACCUCAUUCACUGGUAAAGAGCUAAGUGAGAUAAUGUGCGUAAAUACUUAGGGCAAUGUCCAGCACACAUUAAAAUCACCCUUUCAAGUCAUAGGAAUGAGUUCUUUAUCACCCUGGGCUGUGGUAAUCACCUGUGCGUUCCAGGUCA
rnacentral:lncRNA from 1 species